AGGGCUGCAGCCUGGCUGUACCUCUCCUAGACCCCAUUGAAGGGCUGACUGCUACCUAGAGAAGGUUCUCUGGUUGGAGGUUCCUCUCUUGUGGGAUUUUCCCUGCGAGCCUGAAUCUUCAGAGGAAUAAAAUGAAGAAUUUGAUAAUGGAGUUGGUGGUACUUCCACUUUUGUAAAUGGAUGUGGAAGAAGCUGCUAUUGCAACAAGUCCCUCCAUCUGUGAACCCAGCAAGGUGAGUUUCUAAGGCCCUUUGGAAAUCAAGUAGAAGCCAAACUAAGGCUGUGUUGUUCCUCAAAGUAUAGCAUGGGAUCUCCUAAGGAGGCACCACAGAAGUCUCAAUCGAGUUCUUGAGGAAAUCAAUGGGAGUUUGAUUGGAGCCAUAGAAAGCCAUGAAGGGAAUUUCAAGAGAUAAAAGUCUGGAGCCAGACAUUCAAAAAUAGCUUUUUAAGUAUGUGUCACUGACCUUCCUUAUGGCUUGCAAAUGCAGUCUGAUUACCCCAACUGAGGUUACUUUAAGGGGAAGGCACAAAAUUUGGACCAGACACUAUAAUACUCAGAAAAAAAAUCAAAUAUGAACUUGCUUUGGAGCAUGAGAUUUGAGUUGGGCCAUGAAGAGGAGCCUGGGCUCUGUUCUUACCUGUAUCUAGAUAUUCCCUCAUUCGUGUGAUUAAGCAUGGAGUGGGAUCAGCAACUGGGUUGGAGCAAAUUCACCAUGUACCUCUGCAAGGAUAUUUGAGAACACAUUUGACCAAAGCAAGGAGUGACUGCAGUACUGGGCUUGAGUGAUCUGCAUGUGAGCUCUUAUAUCUGUGAUGGUUUUAUCAGGAUAUCUCUGACCCAAAUAGAAAGUAAGAAAUCAACUGCCUUGUCCUUCAUUCCUGUUCAAAGAUGAAAACUGUCACGAGCUUUGCCUGAGCUGACUAUCCAGUGAGGGCUUGACUGUGUCUCAAGGACAAAGGAAAACCCCUCAGGUCAGUAUCUCUGAAAACAUGAAGGCAAGGGUACAGCCAUAUGGAGCAGAUUUGCGCUGUAACUGAUACCGAAGAAAAGCUCUUCCAUCAGAACACCUUCUGAAAUAGAGGAAGUCAGCAGCUCAGGAUCUCUCUUUUGGACCAGUGCAUGAGAAUCAUGGUCUGAGCAAGCUGAGCUGAUGGAGUAUCUCUAUGAACUGCAGAGGAUGUACCUGGCAGGGUCUGCACGUACAUGAGGUAUGGUGUGCAGGGAGUGCUCUGCCUAUGCGGGCACAACAGUAGGGAAAGCAUUGCAUCUCGAGGAGCCAUUCCAGCGUGUGCUCUCUCAGUAUUAAGAUCUCUCCAGGCUUCCUGUAUCUGGUAAUAUUGCUCUUGUUUUAAAUCCUUCUCAUAAUUUCAAGGGAAAAUUCUUUGUGACAAACGCUGUUGAUUUAAAACUAAUGUUUAGCCAGAAAUGGGUAAUUGUAUUAGACCAAAAAAAAAGCUGCUGUAAAAUCGGCCCCAGUCUGAUUUUUAAUUUACUGCAUCAUCAGCUACUUUUAUGAUACUAUUUAAUCUGCUGAAAUAAAACUAUUGCUCUAUGAAUGUCUCUAACGCUCAAGGAAGAUUGUUUUUAGCCAUUCUGCUCUUGAGGACCUGGAGCUGUUAAUUAUUACACAAAUUAUUCCUGCAAAUGCAUUUAUUUACAUUUAUGUUUUACUGUGAAGUCAUUUUUGACCCUUGGAGAGGGAAAAGGGACAUUGCCCAUCACUGCUUCGCACUGGCCAGAAAUCCUCCUAAAACCUUUUGCCUUUCCAUGGGAAAACAACUCCCAACAAUGCCAAAACAAUACCCAGCAGUGCCAAAACGUUGCCCUGUGCUUUUCCCAUGAGCACAGAUGGGUGCAGCAUUGGGUUUUGCCUCCUCUGGAGUGAAGAAAUCAACCUGUAGGGCCUGUUCCAAACCCAUCAUUGCCAGCAGCACAGCCCUUCUGGGUACAGCGGCUCUGGGGCUGUGUUCCUGCGCAGACUGCAACCUAAUAAUAAUUCUGCUUUUUCUUGGCUAUUAACUUCCUCCUGAAUUAGUGAGAAUGGAGGUGUUGCAAUGGAACUCCCUGGAACAACGCACCACCAGGUGAGAAAAUUGUGAAAAAGAGAACCUCCUUUGAAAUCCACCCAAAAACACACCUAGUUUGAAAUAAGAAUGAAGCCAGUUGACUGUUCUCUGCUCUUUUCAAUGAACAGCAGCAGCUCUCGUAAAGAUUACCUGUGGGAUAAAUGGAUGCAGUGGGAGGAAAAAGGCUCUGGGUGUGACCGACAGCAUACAUCCAUGGCAUGCGAGCUGCUGGGUUUCAAUAUUCCUCAUCCAUUUCUAUUGCAGCAUUAGGUUUACUGGCCCUGCUAAGCACCUGAGCACCUGCCUGUGCCGACAGUGGGAGUGGGCUGUUUUCAGAGUCGUUACAGACAAUUGAGUGAUGGCUACAAGUACAGUAAAACAAAUAGUUUUGAAUGCAACCACCUCUUGUUUCAUCCAAACAACGUCUGUUUGGUUAUUUCCUUACGGUCGAACGCCUGCUCCCUGGGCAGGCAGCAGAAGUCUCCUUUUACCUUGGUAAUUAGCUUGUUUGAAAGCUCCCACAAAUUCUUCCUAUCAUAAAUUUUGCAUUGCUCCGCACACAAUAA